GACGAACGCUGGCGGCGUGCCUAACACAUGCAAGUCGAGCGGAGUCGAUCGACGGAAGCCUUCGGGCGGAAGAUGGUUGACUUAGCGGCGGAUGGGUGAGUAACGCGUGGGCAACCUGCCUCGAAGACCGGGAUAACAGCCCGAAAGGGCUGCUAAUACCGGAUGUGGUCAAGGAUCCGCAUGGAUUUUUGAUUAAAGGGGAAACCCGUUUCGAGAUGGGCCCGCGUCCUAUCAGCUAGUUGGUGAGGUAAAAGCUCACCAAGGCGACGACGGGUAGCCGGCCUGAGAGGGUGACCGGCCACACUGGAACUGAGACACGGUCCAGACUCCUACGGGGGCAGCAGUGGGGAAUCUUCCACAAUGGGCGAAAGCCUGAUGGAGCGACGCCGCGUGAGCGAAGAAGGCCUUCGGGUUGUAAAGCUCUGUCUGGAGGGACGAAGGAAGUGACGGUACCUCCGGAGGAAGCCACGGCUAACUACGUGCCAGCAGCCGCGGUAAGAUCACGUGUA
rnacentral:rRNA from 1 species